AAUGACUCUCGGCAACGGAUAUCUCGGCUCUCGCAUCGAUGAAGAACGUAGCGAAAUGCGAUACCUGGUGUGAAUUGCAGAAUCCCGCGAACCAUCGAGUCUUUGAACGCAAGUUGCGCCCGAGGCCAUUCGGUCGAGGGCACGCCUGCCUGGGCGUCACGCCAU
rnacentral:rRNA from 1 species